rnacentral:lncRNA from 1 species
UGCAAACUAUCUAAUAGAUGGUCAAGCCCGACUUUGGCCGGUAUCCAACCGGACCAUCCAUUCCAAUAGUUGCAACUGACUCAUCAUUAUUGUUUGACAAUUCCAAUGGCCGAUACGCACCAGUGCGCGCACGCGCCUCCAAUGUAUAUAGACGCAUUGGACUCAUUAUCACACAACUAAUGGAAGGCUAUGACGUGGCCAUCUCCAUUAACCAUAUCAUUUUAUGAACCUAAUAAUUUAGAGGAUUUUUAUAAUAAAAAGCUGACUCAAUCCAAAUCCUCCCACUGACUUCAUAAGUCAGGUAUCAUAGGAAAUAGAUUCAAGUUAGUGUACCUAAAUCA